rnacentral:rRNA from 1 species
UGGGGAAUAUUGGACAAUGGGGGCAACCCUGAUCCAGCGAUGCCGCGUGUGUGAAGAAGGCCUGCGGGUUGUAAAGCACUUUAGUUGGGGAGGAGAGCCAUGGCGUGAAUAAUGCUGUGGUGAGACGUUACCCAAAGAAUAAGCACCGGCUAACUCUGUGCCAGCAGCCGCGGUAAUACAGAGGGUGCGAGCGUUAAUCGGAAUUACUGGGCGUAAAGGGCGCGUAGGCGGUUGAUUAAGUCAGUUGUGAAAUCCCAGGGCUUAACCUUGGAACUGCAAUUGAUACUGGCCAACUGGAGUCGAAGAGAGGGGGCGGAAUUUCCGGUGUAGCGGUGAAAUGCGUAGAUAUCGGAAGGAACACCUGUGGCGAAGGCGGCCCUCUGGCUUCAGACUGACGCUGUAGCGCGAAAGCGUGGGGAUCAAACAGGAUUAGAUACCCUUGUAGUCCCUGAGCGGGCUGGCAAGGCGCAU